rnacentral:rRNA from 1 species
AUGUCGAAGCUUGAACAUGCAGAUUUUGUUCAGCCAGUUAAGCACCACAAGGGAAUAUGCUUAAAUCAUGGCUUGGUUCAUCAUCUGAGAAGCUCAAGAAACAGUGCAGUGAGAGAACCUGCUUUCUUAAGAACAGUGACGAUGCAGGUCCUCAAGAACCUUCCUCCAGAGAUAAUAUCUGAAAUGAAUGACAUGUACAAGGGAGAAUUGCAUGGUUUUCUGGGCAUGAGAAGCAGCGGUGAAGGCAAGGAAAGCAACUCAAAAUCUCGUGUUUUUUCUGCCGUUAACCAGAAUUCUGUACCUGUUAGUAAUGCAAGGUUGCACCAAUAUGGGGAGCGCACUGACUCCAUGCAUUUGGAAAAGCGGAAUUCUAUUAAGGGGGCAUCAGAUGAGGAAGUUCAAACUGCCCAUGCUUUGUGCUCAAGAGCCAAUGAAUUGAUUGAUACAGAAAGUGUCACACGGCUUGAUUUCGUGCCUAAUUCUCUAAGCCAGGCAGACUUCACAAUUUUGCAGGAAUUACCUGAGGAUGUCAAGGCUGAUUUGUUCAAUGUGCUUCCAUUACAUAGGUCAAUAGAUCCUACACGCCACACUUCAAAUGUUACUGAAAAUAAAUCUCUGAAGAAUGGAGGAACGGAUGAUCCAAAAAAUCCAGUGAUUUGCGUUUUGCCAGGAAGUUCUGAGAAAUGGGCCGAACAGUUCAGAGUUAGUAGUUCCCUACUGUUGAAAGCUAUUGCAGAGCAACACGCAAAUUCUAUCUCCAGUCAACCUUUAUCUUCAAUUUUGGAGCAUGCUGCUUCCCUCCUCCCUCUGUGUCCUCCCUCAGUGUAUAUACACCUGAAAGUUGAUUCUGAUAUUGAAGAGCUGUACAAAUGUUUCCUUCUUUUGAAAAGGUUCUCUUCAGCAUCUGAGCUUUUCUGGAAUUGCACAAUAGCAUUCUUCCUUUACUACAGGAUUCCAUCACUCAGCAUUAUGGUGGGACACUGCCUCUCUAGUUUGAAGUUCAGUUAUUGCCUACCAUUUGGCGAUAGAAAGGAUAUAGAGGUGCUUGGGGGUCUCUGCUCUUGUUUAUCAGUGGUGACCAUGGAGUGUGAUGACUGGCUCUCCUGGUCCAAGCAUAUGAACCGAAUCAGGGUUCUGAAUAAAGUGGAAAUCAUGUACACCUGUAAAUAG